GGGGUUGUGGCUCAGAGGUAGAGUGCUCGCCUGCCAUGUGUGAGGCGCUGGGUUCAAUCCUCAGCAACACAU
rnacentral:tRNA from 1 species